AAGUUGUGUUAUCUAAUGCUCGUAAUUUAGACACAAAUGAUAGAAAUGUUAGGUUUAUAUGCCAAAGAGGCCAUGUGAAAAUUUUAGUGCAAAUACGCAUGCGUGCGCGCCGUGCACAUAAAGCCACCCCACCCCCACGUGUCCGCGCGCCGGUCGGGGGGUGUUGGGCGUCAAUAAAGGUAAUCUGGUUGUCGCGCUUUCUGCAUCUCUGCGCGAGCUAAAGAAGUCUCAAAGAUGAAUGCAGCUGUUGUUGUUAUUACUGUGUGACGGAGGAGCGGUGCUGAAAAAUACGGCCUCCAUCGAGAGACUGAACGUAACACGACUGCAGGCUGACUCUGCCACGAGGCUCGACAACUUCUUGCAUCAACUGUGAUCGCUGUGGCCGCCAAAACAUCCAAAUGUAAGGCGGGCUACAAAGAUUUCAGGCCAAAAGAGAACGCCUCACAUGUGAUGAAGUGUCUGUAUUGGUUGGAAAAACCAGCAGCCUUCCAGUGCUUCAGCCGUCCAACCAUCAACCGUUUCAGACAUCCAUCCUCCCACCACUUCAGCCCCACAGCCGUCCACCAGUGUGCCAACUUCGGACAUUUUACUAUCCUGGGGGGGGUCAUGGCCUCUACGCUGGAUCCCAAAAAAGAGACAAAAAAACCCCGACCUCAACCCCCACUCUUAGUCAGACAUGUUUAUUUUUUUAUUUACAAUAAUAAAUAAUAUACUAUGUACAUUUA